UAAAAUUUUGACCCAGCAUAGAGCCCACCAUAAUGACCGUUAGUUCUUUGUAAAACAGGAUUAGAAACCUUGUGCAGUCAAGAUGAAAAUGGCGCAGCUGACGGCCAAAAAUAUCCUCCCACAUCAUUAUCUUGCAUCUCUGCCGAGCCAUGAAGCAUACCAGUCGACAACUGAAAUGACACACCAGGACCAGAACAAUCUACUGGAUUUGAUGCUCGAACAAUCGACGACGACAACGGGCCAUAAUACUCAUGAUUAUAAUGAAAGAAGUAUCUCUGGGCUAAAUGUUCGAACCUACCGCAGAUCUGACACUGGAUGCGAGACCGAAACCCUCUCUCGCGGCCUCCAGACGGUGGAUGACCACCACAAACCGAACCCGCCUGCGACGAAAUGACUUCCAAAAGAUUCACACAAAUAGGUACAUCCUGUAUCGCACACACCGACCGACUCUCAUAUUCUAGCAGCACAUCAAUUAGACGCUAAAGCGGCAGAGGCUCCGACGAGAACAACGCGAGGGUGAUGACAGCAUCGAACUCUGGAGUUGAAUAAAGGUCAAGACGAAGACGAGAAAGUUUCGUACCUGUAACGACAGUAAAGAGACAAGCGGUGGUGUUUCAGACAUCACACGCCGUUCGAGCCUCUAUAAAAGAUGAGGAAGCGAUGAAUUAAUUGUAGAAAGUAGCCAGGAAAUAAGUAACAUGUCCUGUUGAAUAAACGCCGAGGCAUCCAGAUUCGGAACGAGCGAGCCCUCUAGAGACUGCAAAAAUCGCAGUGGAGCAGGUACCGUUCCAUCCAAAAAACCAGUUAGCUCGUAUCUUUCAACUAUUAACCUAACAUGCUGCUUCCACUGAACGAAAGUGCCUUCACCCAAUUUGACAGUCUCAUGACGCGGAAACGAGUAAACGAGCCUAGCACCUGUGAACGCUGAACCUCUAUGUUCGACGGCGGCAGAAUCAGCAGAAGCUAUGGUGGUCAUUAACGCAAACAGAAAACAGGUCUUCAGCACCUUAGACGACUGAUACCAUGUUAGCACCUACGGUGAAUUAUCAAUGUAAACUGAAUUGAAUGAAACCAAGCUAAGUAUUGAAAGAAUGUAUUGAGUAAAGAAAUAACUCUUUUGUAUUUAGUCUUGUAUUCUGGUAUGUACAUUGUAACAAUAGUAUUUAUAGGACAUAUGAGUAACUGUUAUUGCUUAACAA